rnacentral:rRNA from 1 species
GCCCUAAAUUGAUUAAAAAUUUAAGGUGUAACCUGCCCUAUGGUUUCAUUUUUUUAAUAACACUAAAAAUUUAUACUCUAAAUGGCUGCAGUAACCAUGACUGUAAUAAAGUAGCACAAUCACUCGCCACUUAAUUGGUGGAUGGUAUGAAUGGUUGAACGAGAUUCCUACUGUUUUAUACGAUAAUUAAGAAAUUUAAAUCAUAGUUAAGAUGCUAUGAAAAAUUGUAAGACGAGAAGACCCUAUAAAGCUUAACUAUACUUCUUUAAACAUUAUUAACAAUAAACAAAGAAAUAUUAAAGAAAUGGUAGUUUCAUUGGGGCGAUGGUUUCUAAAAUAUAACAGAAAUAUAUCAAAAAUAAUAAAAAAAUUUGCUGUUUAAUGAAUAAAUUUAACAGUUACAAAGUAGGAUAUAAUGACCCAUUAUUCACCUAAAAAAAGGAGUAAUGAUCAAUAAAUAAAAGCUACUUUAGGGAUAACAGGAUAAUUUUUUCUUAGAGUUCUUAUCGAAGAAAAAGCUUAUUACCUCGAUGUUGAAUUAGGAUAACCUGGUGAUGUAGAAGUUACCAAAGGUAGGUCUGUUCGACCUUUAAAAUCCU